UGGAUCGAUGAUGGUGACUGUGGUCUAUGAGGCUUGGAUGGUGAAUAAUAUGUGUCUGGGACUCUGAAGGCCAG